UACGAAGGGGGCGAGCAUUGUUCGGAAUUACUGGGCGUAAAGGGUGCGUAGGCGGAUCGAUCAGUCAGAUGUGAAAGCCCAGGGCUCAACCCUGGAAUUGCAUUUGAUACUGUCAGUCUGGAGUAUUGGAGAGGAGCGUGGAAUUCCCAGUGUAGAGGUGAAAUUCGUAGAUAUUGGGAGGAACACCAGUGGCGUAGGCGA
rnacentral:rRNA from 1 species